rnacentral:rRNA from 1 species
UACAGAGGGUGCAAGCGUUAAUCGGAAUUACUGGGCGUAAAGCGUGCGUAGACGGUAGCGUAAGUCGGGUGUGAAAGCCCCGGGGCUCAAACCUGGGAAUUGCAUUCGAGACUGCUCUGCUAGGGUGCGGAAGAGGGAAGCGGAAUUUCCGGUGUAGCGGUGAAAUGCGUAGAUAUUGGGAAGAACACCGGUGGCGAAGGCGGCGACCUGGUCCUUG